CUCGGUGUCCCUGUGUGGUACUUGGAGAGAUAGUAGACCGUAUAGCGUACGCUUUAUCUGUGACGUAUGUAACACGGUCCACUAACCCUCAGUAUCAAAUCCAUCCUCGAGGUUCC
rnacentral:pre_miRNA from 15 species